rnacentral:SRP_RNA from 3 species
CCGUCGGGGCUUGUGCAAUGAAAACCUAUGAACCUCGUCAGGUCCGAGAGGAAGCAGCGAUAAAUAGUUAUUUUCAUGUGCCACAGGGAAACCUGACGGGUUA